AUUGAACGCUGGCGGCAGGCUUAACACAUGCAAGUCGAGCGGGGUGAUGGUGCUUGCACUAUCACUUAGCGGCGGACGGGUGAGUAAUGCUUAGGAAUCUGCCUAUUAGUGGGGGACAACAUCUCGAAAGGGAUGCUAAUACCGCAUACGUCCUACGGGAGAAAGCAGGGGAUCACUUGUGACCUUGCGCUAAUAGAUGAGCCUAAUUCGGAUUAGCUAGUUGGUGGGGUAAAGGCCUACCAAGGCGACGAUCUGUAGCGGGUCUGAGAGGAUGAGCAGCCACACUGGGACUGAGACACGGCCCAGAAUCCUACGGGAGGCAGCAGUGGGGAAUAUUGGACAAUGGGGGGAACCCUGAUCCAGCCAUGCCGCGUGUGUGAAGAAGGCCUUAUGGUUGUAAAGCACUUUAAGCGAGGAGGAGGCUCUUUUGGUUAAUCCCCAAGAUGAGUGGACGUUACUCGCAGAAUAAGCACCGGCUAACUCUGUGCCAGCCGCCGCAGUAA
rnacentral:rRNA from 1 species